rnacentral:rRNA from 1 species
CGCCUGGGGAGUACGGCCGCAAGGUUAAAACUCAAAUGAAUUGACGGGGGCCCGCACAAGCGGUGGAGCAUGUGGUUUAAUUCGACGCAACGCGAAGAACCUUACCUGGCCUUGACAUGCAGAGAACUUUCCAGAGAUGGAUUGGUGCCUUCGGGAACUCUGACACAGGUGCUGCAUGGCCGUCGUCAGCUCGUGUCGUGAGAUGUUGGGUUAAGUCCCGUAACGAGCGCAACCCCUAUCCCUAGUUGCUAGCAGUUCGGCUGAGAACUCUAGGGAGACUGCCGGUGACAAACCGGAGGAAGGUGGGGAUGACGUCAGGUCAUCAUGGCCCUUACGGCCAGGGCUACACACGUGCUACAAUGGCGCGCACAGAGGGCUGCAAACCCGCGAGGGGGAGCCAAUCUCACAAAACGCGUCGUAGUCCGGAUCGCAGUCUGCAACUCGACUGCGUGAAGUCGGAAUCGCUAGUAAUCGUGAAUCAGAAUGUCACGGUGAAUACGUUCCCGGGCCUUGUACACACCGCCCGUCACACCUUGGGAGUGGAUUGCACCAGAAGUGGUUAGUCUAACCUUCGGGAGGACGAUCACCACGGUGUGGUUCAUGACUGGGGUGAAGUCGUAACAAGGUAACCGUA